rnacentral:rRNA from 1 species
ACUCCUACGGGAGGCAGCAGUGGGGAAUUUUGGACAAUGGGGGAAACCCUGAUCCAGCAAUGCCGCGUGUGUGAAGAAGGCCUUCGGGUUGUAAAGCACUUUUGUCAGGAACGAAACGGUGGGGGCUAAUACCUCCUGCUAAUGACGGUACCUGAAGAAUAAGCACCGGCUAACUACGUGCCAGCAGCCGCGGUAAUAC